rnacentral:rRNA from 1 species
UACGUAGGCAGCAAGCGUUGGUUCGGAGUUACUGGGCGUAAAGGGUGCGGUAGGCGGCUUUUUAAGUUUGGUGUGAAAUCUCCCGGCUCAACUGGGAGGGUGACGCCGAAUACCGUGAGAGGCUAGAGUGUGGGAGAGGAAAGUGGAAUUCCUGGUGUAGCGGUGAAAUGACGUAGAUAUCAGGAGGAACACCGGUGGUGUAAACGGCUUUCUGGACCAUAACUGACGCUGAGGCACGAAAGCGUGGGUAGCAAACAGG